CCCUCGGAGUACCAUACCAACGAAAGUAGCUGCGGCAAAAUCGGGUACGUUGAAAAGGGAA
rnacentral:ncRNA from 1 species